AACGAACGCUGGCGGCAUGCCUAAUACAUGCAAGUCGAACGAGAUCUUCGGAUCUAGUGGCGCACGGGUGCCUAACGCGUGGGAAUCUGCCCUUGGGUUCGGAAUAACAUCUGGAAACGGAUGCUAAUACCGGAAGAUGACGUAAGUCCAAAGAUUUAUCGACCAAGGAUGAGCCCGCGGAGGAUUAGCUAGUUGGUAAGGUAAAAGCUCACCAAGGCGACGAUCCUUAGCUGGUCUGAGAGGAUGAUCAGCCACACUGGGACUGGGACACGGCCCAGACUCCUACGGGAGGCACCAGUAGGGAAUAUUGGACAAUGGGGGCAACCCUGAUCCAGCAAUGCCGCGUGAGUGAUGAAGGCCGUAGGGUUGUAAAGCUCUUUUACCCGGGAUGAUAAUGACAGUACCGGGAGAAUAAGCCCCGGCUAACUCCGUGCCAGCAGCCGCAGUAAUAC
rnacentral:rRNA from 1 species